CCUACGGGAGGCAGCAGUGGGGAAUAUUGGACAAUGGGCGCAAGCCUGAUCCAGCCAUGCCGCGUGUGUGAAGAAGGCCUUCGGGUUGUAAAGCACUUUUGUUGGGAAAGAAAUCCUGUCGGUUAAUACCUGGCGGGGAUGACGGUACCCAAAGAAUAAGCACCGGCUAACUUCGUGCCAGCAGCCGCGGUAAUACGAAGGGUGCAAGCGUUACUCGGAAUUACUGGGCGUAAAGCGUGCGUAGGCGGUUCGUUAAGUCUGUCGUGAAAGCCCUGGGCUCAACCUGGGAAUUGCGAUGGAUACUGGCGAGCUAGAGUACGGUAGAGGAUGGUGGAAUUCCCGGUGUAGCGGUGAAAUGCGUAGAGAUCGGGAGGAACACCCGUGGCGAAGGCGGCCAUCUGGACCAGUACUGACGCUGAGGCACGAAAGCGUGGGGAGCAAACAGGAUUAGAUACCCUGGUAGUCCACGCCCUAAACGAUGCGAACUGGAUGUUGGGCACACUUAGGUGCUCAGUGUCGAAGCUAACGCGUUAAGUUCGCCGCCUGGGGAGUACGGUCGCAAGACUGAAACUCAAAGGAAUUGACGG
rnacentral:rRNA from 1 species